AUUGAACGCUGGCGGCAUGCCUUACACAUGCAAGUCGAACGGCAGCACGGGAGCAAUCCUGGUGGCGAGUGGCGAACGGGUGAGUAAAGUAUCGGAACGUGCCCAGUCGUGGGGGAUAACGUAGCGAAAGUUACGCUAAUACCGCAUACGAUCUAUGGAUGAAAGCGGGGGAUCGCAAGACCUCGCGCGAUUGGAGCGGCCGAUAUCAGAUUAGGUAGUUGGUGGGGUAAAGGCUCACCAAGCCGACGAUCUGUAGCUGGUCUGAGAGGACGACCAGCCACACUGGGACUGAGACACGGCCCAGACUCCUACGGGAGGCAGCAGUGGGGAAUUUUGGACAAUGGGCGAAAGCCUGAUCCAGCCAUGCCGCGUGCAGGAUGAAGGCCUUCGGGUUGUAAACUGCUUUUGUACGGAACGAAAAGGUUUGGGCUAAUAAGCUGAGCUCAUGACGGUACCGUAAGAAUAAGCACCGGCUAACUACGUGCCAGCCGCCGCCGUAACAC
rnacentral:rRNA from 1 species